rnacentral:ncRNA from 1 species
AGUGAGAAUAGAGGUGCAAAGACCAUCAGUACAAUAUUUGAGGAGUAUGAGCUCCAACGACGAUAUUGAAAAGGGGAAUUUGCCGAAGUAUGAUAACACUCAUAAUCUAUCAUACUGGUUUUGUAUUAAAUAAGUGCAAAACUGUCAUAUAGUUGAUACUAUAUGGAGGGCUAUCUCACGU